ACUAAUCAUAUGAUUUUGUUGUAUUUUUCUUCAGUUAUCUGAAGGUUGUAUUUCCUUUUAUCUUAAGUAAGAGUAAGCCCUGGACAAGAGUGUAAACCUUCCGAUGUUCAGACCCUUGCAUCACAGAGCUGUAUUACAGCUGGAACAGCUGUUCCUUUUCACAUAGAUUAUAGAGCAGCUGAUCCAGCUCGCAUGCAGCUCUGUUAGCUAAAUGGUUAGCCCCUCUUUGUGUUCCAGCUAGCUCUCCUUCACUGAAGGAGGAGUGUUUUCUGUCCCUCUGUCCCUCUCCGUGUCUGUCUGUCUGCCUGCCCUGUAGGUUUUCACUGGAGGCCGAGCUCGAUAUGAAAAUUCCUCUCUUAGCUUUGAAUGUCACUGACAUUUUCGACCAACAUAAAGCCGACUUCAGACACAUAUGCUCAGAGCCACUGUAUGUCUCCAAGGCUGUCCAGAGAGCCAAAAUGGAGGUCAAUGAAGACGGAACCAAAGCAUCAGUCGCCACGGCUUCGGUCCUGUUAACCAGAUCUUCCCCUCCACCAGUGACCAUAGACAGACCAUUCCUCUUCCUCAUUCGACACAACCCCACAGGGACUCUGCUUUUCAUGGGACUGAUCAACGAUCCCUUGGCACCAUGCCAACCAACCCCCGAACCGGAACUGCCUGUGUUUCCACCUCAAACACCAAAAAUAAAAAUAAAAAUAAAAUAAAAAAAUUUAUACUGGUUUUUCAGGCAGACGUACAAACAGAUGUAAUGUUGCACAUCAUUUAACUGGUAAUAAAAUCAGUUCCCCAUUUCUGUA